CCUACGGGAGGCAGCAGUGGGGAAUAUUGGACAAUGGGCGAAAGCCUGAUCCAGCCAUGCCGCGUGUGUGAAGAAGGCCUUCGGGUUGUAAAGCACUUUCAGUGGGGAAGAAAGCCUUGGGGCUAAUACCCUCGAGGAAGGACAUCACCCACAGAAGAAGCACCGGCUAACUCCGUGCCAGCAGCCGCGGUAAUACGGAGGGUGCGAGCGUUAAUCGGAAUUACUGGGCGUAAAGCGCGCGUAGGCGGUCUGAUAAGCCGGUUGUGAAAGCCCCGGGCUCAACCUGGGAACGGCAUCCGGAACUGUCAGGCUAGAGUGCAGGAGAGGAAGGUAGAAUUCCCGGUGUAGCGGUGAAAUGCGUAGAGAUCGGGAGGAAUACCAGUGGCGAAGGCGGCCUUCUGGACUGACACUGACGCUGAGGUGCGAAAGCGUAGGUAGCAAACAGGAUUAGAUACCCGAGUAGUC
rnacentral:rRNA from 1 species